rnacentral:rRNA from 1 species
AGUGAACGCUGGCGGUAGGCCUAACACAUGCAAGUCGAACGGCAGCACAGUAAGAGCUUGCUCUUACGGGUGGCGAGUGGCGGACGGGUGAGGAAUACAUCGGAAUCUACUUUUUCGUGGGGGAUAACGUAGGGAAACUUACGCUAAUACCGCAUACGACCUACGGGUGAAAGCAGGGGAUCUUCGGACCUUGCGCGAUUGAAUGAGCCGAUGUCGGAUUAGCUAGUUGGCGGGGUAAAGGCCCACCAAGGCGACGAUCCGUAGCUGGUCUGAGAGGAUGAUCAGCCACACUGGAACUGAGACACGGUCCAGACUCCUACGGGAGGCAGCAGUGGGGAAUAUUGGACAAUGGGCGCAAGCCUGAUCCAGCCAUGCCGCGUGGGUGAAGAAGGCCUUCGGGUUGUAAAGCCCUUUUGUUGGGAAAGAAAAGCAGCAGGUUAAUACCCCGCUGUUCUGACGGUACCUAAAGAAUAAGCACCGGCUAACUUCGUG